ACCACAAGGGGAUUCAAACCCGGGCCUCCGGUGUUACAACGCGGCAUUUCUACCACUGCGCCACCGGGGCACACCUGGUGUUGUAAGAGAAGUGGGAAGCCUAAGAGACCUUGAAGACUGAAGCAAAGAACUUGAGGACCUCAGCCUUCUCCAUGUCUGUUGUAGCCAGUUCUCCCUUUCGUUUACUGGAGGGUGUGCACUAAAGAUUUGCUGUUCCAUGAAGGCUGCUUUUCAGCACUGGGGUGUAGCAGGAGUCCUGGAAUCUGAGAUGCUUAUUUUGUUCCAAACACCUCAAGUUUCUGGAAAAGAACUUCAAGGAAACAUCAACCCUGAACACUGAAGAACAUUUGAAAUAGCAGGGGAUCUGUCAUUGAUUUAGUUUCACUUCUAGCACCACUUCUUCAAUCAGAAACAUCAGAUAACUGUAUGCAGUAAUUACCACCUUCCUCUGUGUAAUAGCUGGGGUUCUAGCAAACUGCACAAGCUGCUUUAAAUACAGUCAUGUUUCCCUGAACUUCACUAUGGUUAUUGGCAAUUUGGAUUAAAAUCACAGUUCCCUCUGAACCAGGUGGGUCCUCCCAGUGUGCUAAUGCUUCAUCAAAAAAAAAAAAAACCAAAAACAAAAAAAACCAAAACAAAACAGAAAAAAUAGAAAAGUAGGAAGAGAUUAAAUGACACCCAAGAAAGGUGUGAAGGUGCAUCGUGCACCCUGUAAAACUGACUUAGGGAAAAGACAAGCCACCUUAAUAGUGUAAAGAGAAGUCAAGUCACUAAAAGGGGUUGCAAGUUGGGUGGUAUAAAUGCCUAUAAUCAGGCUUUAAAAGUGUGUUUAACACAACUCUCCUGACAGAAAGGAAACUAUGGACAUGUUUCCAAAUAGGUUGUGGUUUGCUUAAGUCUUCCCAUGAAUAUGUGUCUAGGAAGUGUGUUAGAUGUCUCCAUACCACUGUAAUUAACUCUUUUCUUCUCUUGCCAUGCUACUUUGGUCAGAUCUUCUGGGGGUAAUGUAUCUUGGUAAAGCUGGGAUUCCCAGUUUGGACACACGUGAGCAACAAGUAAGCUGUGGUGCUGUAGACUGAUAUCCCCCUGCCAAGCAGUGAGAAAUGGCCUUAUCUGGUCAAGGCUUAUCUCCCAAGGGCAUUUUUAAUUGGUCUAAUUAUCUGUGAUCUUUCCCAGCUGAGGAUGGUAACCUGUGACAUGUUCCAGUACUCCAGUAUUCAUCUCAAUUCAAAUUCAGGGAAAAACAAGGAGGCAGCUGAACCACAGACCCUGCUUUGAAGACCACCAGAGCUGUUCCAGCCCUCUUUGGCUGAAGGCUGGAGAUGGCCACUCAGUACUGCCAACCUGGUUGGGAUACUGCUGCAUCCCUGCAGUGCCCAGGUGCUGCCUUUGGUUAAAAGAGCUGAAAGAGAGGACUUUCUCUGAACAUUUAACUAAGGUUUCAGCCAGCUUUAGCUACACAAGGAAUGGAGAGACAAUGGAAUUGUGGCUAAGUGAAGCGUAUUCUUCCUGCAGUUUCUCUGAUGCUUUCCUGGAACUGGUAAGAGAAAAGAAACCAGAAAAUUUGGGUACUGCUUUUAGUGUUGGACCUGCUGGAGGCUGGAAAUGAUGGUGCUGGUGGAAGAGCACAUUUGGGGAGCAGAGUUAAGCUUGUUGUGACUGUUUCCCUACGAACCAUAGGCAUGCUGACUGUGAGGUGGCUGGGCAAACCUGCAGUAAGAGCUCUGCUUGGCCUGACUUAAAUAAAAAAGCUGGGAGGAUGAACUCAAGUCUUCUGCACUGUACCCCAAUACUGAGCUACUGUGAAAUGAUGCCAUGCAAAACUUUGUUUCCUUCUCCUAUGGGAGAAAAGUAUCAUUCCAAGCCUUGAGAGCUGGCAUAGAAUAAAACAGCUGGUGGAUGCUUUGCUGGUGAUGGAAACAGAUGAGGAUUUCAGUUCUUGGUUCCUUACUGCAGUAUUUGACCUUCCUGCACAUCUCCCUAAACUAGCAUUGUAGAUGCCUGUUUCACAUAUGGGAGUAUGAAUGGAAGGAAAUCUGUUGAAGAGCUGGGAUUUGAUUCCUCUCCAUGGCUGAGGUAUGGGAUGGCUGUGAGGUGUGGAGGCCUGGGAUUUCCUGUGUGUGGCAAGUGGCCAUAUGAAGCUAUCUUCCAGAGGAGUUGCUGCAAGACAUCAUCCUGGCUCUCAUCCAUCCAUGCCGCCACAAAGGUUGUUCCUGAGAAGACCCACAAGGCCGUGUCUCCACGUGGCAACAGUGAGUGUGACUGUGGCUGGAGUACCACAUCCUGCCCACCUCCCCAUGGGUUGCAUUAGGCAGCAGUGGUGUCAUGUCCUGCUGCGUGCACUGGGAGGGCUUGUGCCUGCAUUGUGAGGGCCUGCCAACAUCUGUGCUCCUGUCUGCUUCAAGUAUUGGUACAGCAAUUUUGUCUGUUGUCCUACAGCUUUGAGGAGUUUAAGGGUGUGCUUCAGGAACAUGGGGCAUAGUGCUUUCUUGCAGGGAUUAAAGUGAAGAGGAGAACCUUAAAGCAAAUGAGAAGGAUUGGAAUUAGCUCUGAUUCCAGAGAGUCAUUCUUAAACUCUCUCUUUUCAUAAUCCAAGUCAAAAUACUACCAAUUCUACUAAAUCUUCAAUUUUCUUGCCUUUUAUGUAUCAACACCAGGACAAAGCAAUUACAGCCCCUGGAGACACACAGGAGUGAAGUGAGUGAGGCAGAGAUAUUAGCAUUGCUGUUGUCCUUUCUGGCCUUGUCCUCUGCCUUUAUUAAUCUGCAUGCGUAAAUUAAACUGAAAUUAAACUCUUCAUUUAUCAUCAUGUUGUGGUGACAGCAUGCAAGACCAUAAUGCUUUACAAACAUGUAGCACUACAUUAACAUCAAAAACAGAUUCUUCCCCUGAGAGGGGGGAAGAUUUCAAAGAAUGCAGAAAGAUAUCACAGGGCUGUAAUCCCUCUUGAGGCACAGAAAACAACCGAUUGUUGAAAUCCUCAGAGCGGGAGGUGGGCCCAGGGAUCUGCACAACACAUGUAGGCUGUAUAGCUUUUCCACUAUUGAGAAUGAAGAUGAGAAAUUGUGAAGGAAACAAGCUUAGGGGAGAAAACAAACAACAACAGAAAACCCCACCCAACAAAACAAAAAAAACAACCCAAAAAGUAACAAAAACAAAACACAACCAACCCCAAAACCCACAUGGUAAAAGGGAAAAGAUACUGUAUGGUAAUAAUUCAGUGUGACAGCCUAGAGAAGGGCAUUGCUCCUAGUACCAGCCCUCUUGAUGCAGACUGUCUCUGCUACAGCAGGCUGAGCCUCUGCUCACAUCCAUGUGCUGUCUUCACCUGCUGCCAUCUGUGCUUGUAGGGCACUGGGCUGCCCCACUUACCUCCAUGGGAUGCUAGCAGAUAACCCGAGAUCCACCGGGGCCGUCUGUGUGGACUUCUUGUGGUCCUGAUUUGGUUAAGUACUUAAAUACACGCUUAAGGGAUUUUCUGAAUUUGAUGUUUUUUGUUCUGCUGGCUCCCUCCAUGUUUCCGGGCUCCCUGAGCACUUGACUUCACCCCUGCUUUACCAUUUAGGUAAAGGUAUUUAGGAUGCUCCUGCUGUCCAAGGCUCAGCCCUUCUCCUUCCCUUCAGCACUCAGGAAAUGCCUCACAAGGUAGGUCAUUUUGGAGUUAUUUUGUGUAGAAGCUGUGCUUGUUCUGCCCAUACCCACCCCUGUAGGUAGGAGCACAUUCUGUCCAGCCAAGAGCUGCACAGUGCAUGGUCCUCAGUCCCAGUGGUGUGUCUGGCAGCUGCCACUCCUUGCUGCACAGCCUGCAGAGAUUUAGGUGAUUUAAGACCCUACCUCUGAGGAGCUCCAGAGCUCCUAGGCCACAUCAACUGUUAAAUAAAGUUCCCUCCCUCAGACAGCUAGGAUCUCUUCAAAAUGUUGUCCUCAGUCCUGUAUUCAACUUCAGAUUACAAAUCCCUCAAAAGUGUUGUGAUUCCCACAUAGGCAAGUUUAUUUACUCAGUCCUGCUAUGCUCCAUCAAAGAUACCUCAUUGGGAGAAGUCAGAGGGCCCCAUUCGUCAGCUUGAGAGGAAAUCCUGCCUGCAGUAGCAAUGCUAUGCGUGGAAGUGCAAACCUGCCAAGCUUUACUUACUUUAGCCUAGCGUGUGGUGAGGCGUGCUGAUAGAUGCAUGAUUCCAACGUGUUUUGGAGGCUGGAAGGGGAAACUCAUCACCUGGCAGGAGCAGGACAUGCAUGCCCCUGCAACCAUGUGGUUCAUGGGUCCCGAGCCCCUUGGAGUGGCAUGAGAAUGGGAGCAAAGAAAGUGUGCAGCACAGCCAUGGGUGAAGUACAUGCAGCUGGAAGCAUCUCUCAGGGGAAGAGGAACAGGGGAGAGCUGUGAGCAGUGAUUAACUGUAACCAUUAAAUUCAGAAAACAGUGACAUAAUUUUGGGAGUGUGAGUGUACCAUCUGAACUAUCCUAGAGGAAUGUCAAGUGCCGUGAAAAUAAUACCAUAUGUUCAGAGAGCCUGAUCUGGAGGUUUCCAAACCACAGAGCUGGAUUUUACUGGGAUACUUUGCAGAUGCAGUUCAUGAGGUGCCAGACCCUGAGAAUCUGUCCUUUGCACCCCUUCUUGGGGCAGCCAUGUCAAAGCCUCUCUGGAGCCAUGUGAGUUGGCAGACAGAUGGAUACCAGCAUGGAACUAUGUGUUUUCUGCUGAAGCCCACACAGCUUGUGAAUCAAUGGCCAGGCUGUUGUGCUACUGUGCCACCAUGCCUCUGGAUAGGAUCCCAUGACUUCCCCCAGCAGAACCUGGAUUCAGGUUCUGGAGAAGCUGAGCCAGCAAGUUACACUGCCCACUGCCUUGCAAACAAAAAAAAAAACCCACCCCAAUAUCCCUUUACAAAUUGCAUUUCAGACCCCCAUAAAGAAGCCUAUAAGGAAGUCUGAAUUAACAGGAUUGUUUUGUUUGGAGAUUUUCCUCCGGGACUGAGGCUGUAUGUAUGGAACAGACUCGGAGCUUUGGCAUCUCUGCUAAGAUCAAUUCACAGUUUGAUGUUUUUGAUCAAGUAGUGCUGGGGGGUAGAUUUGUAGAUCUGGGUGCCACAGCUUGGAACCCAGCUGUGCAAUGCUGCCAUUGGGAAGUGGGGGAGCAGAGGGAAAAGCGUGCCUGCUGCCACUGUGAAAAUUAAUAUUUCUGCAGUUCACCUGCAAGAAGCAUGCCGUGUCAAGUGCUGCAUUUGAGAGAGAAGUAUUUCUCCCUUCGAGGCUUUGAAAGAAAGGGCCUCAUUGAAAGGAAAGAAAUCCUGGUGAUUCAGCUGAGUGGAGUGCAGUGUACUCAGAGAAAAUAAGAAAGAAAUGAAAGUGUUAGCUGAGGCUUGGUUAUGGCAAUGGAGGGGUAUUAGCCAAGUCAAAAUGGAUUGUCAGACUCGGCUCUUGUUUGUAUAACCUCCCAUGUUCCUUGCACUGAGUCAACAUCUAGCCAUCUGGGAUGGGGGAAGGGAAUAACUUUUUUGUUUAGAAAAAAUAAAAUCAUGUAAAAAUCAGUUAAAUUUAUGUUUCUCUUUUAACCGAAGAAGUGUUUAAAAGGAAAACAUACCUUUUGGAGUAAAGCAUUUGUUUUUGUUCUUUAUAAGUACUUGUUUGAGUUCAUGUUCGUUAAAUGGCUUGUAGUUAUUCAAUCAUGGAGAUUUCCCUUGCUAACAUAAAAAUAGGUGUGAUUGAAAAAUUCAUAGCAGGAAAACAAAACUGCCUUUCACCCACUUGGACUUGCUUGACUUGAUGAGAUAUUUGUAAACCUUUAUAAGCACAUGUGGUUUGUAAGCAUAUUUCUACAGAAAGGAAUACAACUCAGACAUAACUUUCUCAAGAAGACACAUGAAGAUGGAAGGAAUAAAUAAUGCUACAAACCAUGAGGCCACAAAAGCCAAGUUGCCAAGUGCUGGUGCUUCCUGACAAUGGAAACUCAGAACUCUUGAAUAAGAAAGGCAGAACUACUUGGCUAGCAGAGGUGGAUAUUGAACAGCAAAUGUAAUUUCAUUUUCUGACCUGCCUCCUCAUGUAUACAAAUUCAGUAUCAUAUAGUUAAGACCCCUUAGCUUUGCUUGGCACAGGACACAUGCCUUUAAAACUGUAGGAACCUCUUGUCAGUGCAAUUUUUUGUGAAAAUACUGGUGCUGUGUUUUGUGCUUGAUCCUGGUCAAAUGCCAUGGGGAGAGGGAUAUUAGUUGGCUUGGGCUGACUUUGAAUCAGGUCUGGCUUAUGCCUUUUGCUAUGUGGUGACAUGUCUGAAAGAAACUUCCAUGGCUGCUCCAUAAAGGAGCAUAAAACACAGCACAGCUAGUUCAUGUGUGGUUAUGCUGAAGAGUACAGAGGCAGGAGGAGGAAGGUGCAAAAGCCAGGAUGGAGAGAUGACUUCAGCCCUCCAGUGUCACCAUGGCUUUCUGGGAGUCAGGGGUUACCAUGGAGUCCUCUGCAGCACAGCUGGCAGAAAUCUUCCACAGAAAAAGCAUUUGUUGGUGUCUGCAAAUAGCAUCUUUACAUGCCUGCUGAUGUCAUCCAAUUACUCACCAGAAGUUUUCCCUAGAAAUUACUCUGCCAUUGGAGCUGAGUAAUUUUGAACAAUAAAUCCUGUUGGUGACAGAGUCCUAACAUUUUGUUUUGCUAUUAUGCAUGUGGACAGAUUUACUAACUUGCAGAACUCAGUACAUCAUAAUCAGUUUCUGGGUCAUUAAAGAGACUUGGCCAACUUUUACUGCACUUCAUAAUGUGGGUUUUUUGAGGGGGUUUGUUGUUUCAAGUGAAGCCAGUGAGAGAGCCUUGUUUUUGUGUGUUUUGAAAUAAGAUUUAUUUCUUCUGUUUUCAGAAGUUAUCUUUGUUUUUGCUACCCACGUGGAAAAGAAGAACUGGUAGGACUCUGAUCAUGAAACAAAAAAAGAGAAAAACAGUUAUGGAAAAGAAACGUUCAAAGACACCAUAUGCCAUUCAUUUUGUUUUAAUUCUAAUUGCACUGUGUUGUAAGCAAUGCAUCCUAAUUCUGACCUACUAAUAAAAAAUGUUUACGCAGUAAGGGUUAACUUUCUCUUGUGCACAAGGAUCUAAUUUAAUUAAAUCCCUGUUGAGCUUUUAGCUAAUAAAUGAAGUGUUAUACAGUAUUGCUGGAGCUCUUGGCAUUGGGUGACUUUUUCCCAUCAUCAUGCUAACUUAUGAGACACAUGCAAAAUCUGUCCACCUUGCUGUGCCUGUGACUGAGAGGCAGAAGGCAGUGCCUCUGCAGUGAGCCUCUUGCAAGAGGUCAUGUCUGGAGGAACU